GCGGGAGUGCUGGAAUGGUAGACAGGCACGUUUGAGGUGCGUGUGUCUUUGGCGUGUGGGUUCGAGUCCCAUCUCCCGCACCA
rnacentral:tRNA from 1 species